rnacentral:lncRNA from 10 species
AGGGCUUCCCCGGCUCCCGAGCUCCGAGCUUCCACCACAUCGGCCGGCUCAGGACAGGGCUUCCACUGUAAAGUCGGCUGCCAGACGUGUUGGAGCUCACCGGAUUUGUCCCUGGUGCCUUAUUUAGUUCACUUGGUGAGGUCAUGUUUUUUUCCUGGAUGGUGUUGAUGGUAGUAGAUGUUCUUCAGUGUCUGGACAUUAAAAUCUUGGGCAUGCAGCACCAUAUGAGAGGUUUAAAAAAUAAAAUUAAAAAAGAGAAAAGAACCCAGAGUUGAUCUCUGCAGCAUGCCAUCACUGCUGGGGAUGAGGAAACGGUGAUUUCAGGACUGUUUUUUCUGUCUCUUCAGUGCCUCUUUCAGUGAUCUGAGGUUAAAACCAGAGGGACAAUCAGUGGAGCCUUCUUUCUGCCGUCUUGCUUUACUCUCACGCCCAAGAAUCAGAAUUCAGAACUUUUAAUAAGAAAAGCUUUCAGAACUCAGGAAGGACAAGGAAGACAUUCUGGUUCUCCAUGCUUAACAUUGGACUGUUUCUUCAACUGAGGUGCAUAGCACUGACUAAUCAGGGAUUAUCAUAGAUAGUUUGACUUGGACUACGCCGUUCAUUCAAAUUCUUUAUCUAGACA